GUCGACCGGCAGCACGGAGCUUGCUCUGGUGGCGAGUGGCGAACGGGUGAGUAAUAUAUCGGAACGUACCCUGGAGUGGGGGAUAACGUAGCGAAAGUUACGCUAAUACCGCAUACGAUCUACGGAUGAAAGUGGGGGAUCGCAAGACCUCAUGCCCGUGGAGCGGCCGAUAUCUGAUUAGCUAGUUGGUAGGGUAAAAGCCUACCAAGGCAUCGAUCAGUAGCUGGUCUGAGAGGACGACCAGCCACACUGGAACUGAGACACGGUCCAGACUCCUACGGGAGGCAGCAGUGGGGAAUUUUGGACAAUGGGCGAAAGCCUGAUCCAGCAAUGCCGCGUGAGUGAAGAAGGCCUUCGGGUUGUAAAGCUCUUUUGUCAGGGAAGAAACGGUGAGAGCUAAUAUCUCUUGCUAAUGACGGUACCUGAAGAAUAAGCACCGGCUAACUACGUGCCAGCAGCCGCGGUAAUACGUA
rnacentral:rRNA from 1 species